rnacentral:tRNA from 1 species
AGGGUUGUAGCUCAGUGGUAGAGCUCUUCCCUCACAUAAGAAGCACUAGGUUCAAUCCUCAGCACCACAA